GGUUGACCCUCGGAUCAGGUAGGGAUACCCGCUGAACUUAAGCAUAUCAAUAAGCGGGAGGAA
rnacentral:rRNA from 1 species